rnacentral:snoRNA from 1 species
GUGAUUGAGAGGUUUCCGGAGCGAUAGGUGAGCGGGCCGACGAUGCUGA